GUAGAGUUUAAGAACGCAAAUCUGGUUUUGGAGAUAGAUGAUCUUGUUGACUUUCCACAGCUUUGAUCUUGAACUGGUUUGGAAUUCUGAGCGAGGACUAUGAGAGUUCCUUGGUUUCAAAUCAGACUCCUUCUGCUGGGUUGAUUUGAUUGUGCAGUCUGCAUUCUUCUCUGCUUGUUUCUUCUGCACGACGGGCAGG
rnacentral:lncRNA from 1 species